rnacentral:rRNA from 1 species
AGAGUUUGAUCAUGGCUCAGGACGAACGCUGGCGGCGUGCUUAACACAUGCAAGUCGAACGAGGUCCAACCAAUGGCAACAUUGGGGAAGACCUAGUGGCGAACGGGUGAGUAACACGUGAGGAACCUGCCCCGAAGACCGGGAUAACCCUCCGAAAGGAGAGCUAAUACCGGAUACCCCCAUCUGAUCGCAUGGUCGGAUGAGGAAAUGGAUUCCGCUUCGGGAGGGCCUCGCGGCCUAUCAGCUUGUUGGCGGGGUAACGGCCCACCAAGGCAUCGACGGGUAGCUGGUCUGAGAGGACGAUCAGCCACACUGGGACUGAGACACGGCCCAGACUCCUACGGGAGGCAGCAGUGGGGAAUCUUGCGCAAUGGGCGAAAGCCUGACGCAGCAACGCCGCGUGGGGGAUGAAGGCUCUCGGGUUGUAAACCCCUUUCAGCAGGGACGAAACUGACGGUACCUGCAGAAGAAGCCCCGGCCAACUACGUGCCAGCAGCCGCGGUAACACGUAGGGGGCAAGCGUUGUCCGGAUUUAUUGGGCGUAAAGAGCUCGUAGGUGGUUCGGUAAGUCGGGUGUGAAACCUCCAGGCUCAACCUGGAGACGCCACCCGAUACUGCUGUGACUGGAGUCCGGUAGGGGAGCGUGGAAUUCCUGGUGUAGCGGUGAAAUGCGCAGAUAUCAGGAGGAACACCAGCGGCGAAGGCGGCGCUCUGGGCCGGUACUGACACUGAGGAGCGAAAGCGUGGGUAGCAAACAGGAUUAGAUACCCUCGUAGUCC